rnacentral:lncRNA from 1 species
CUGUCCCAGCCACAGGAACCGGGCCGAGCCAGCGCUGCUCCGGCAGCGGCUCCUGCCGAGGCAGCGGCCGCAAGGAGACCGCGGGCAGCCGCUCCCGCAGCGCCCUCAGGCCAGCGGCAACACGGGCCGGACACGGCACAACGAACCCGCCUGAGCCCCCUGCCGCCCCCGAGGCCCGCAGCCAGCCCCGAGCCCCCCGCACAACCCAGCGCGGCUCCCACCUGCGCUGCGGCCGCCUCCGAGCUCCGCCGCCGCCUCACCGCGCUCCGGCCGCUGCCGCCGCUCCCGGGCCCGCACACACGCUCCGCCAAUGGCGCCGCUGCCCAGCCACGGCUGCCCUCAGCCCGCCCCCGGGGCCCUGCUCCGCCCCGCUCCCACCAAUCAGCGCGCCACAACCACGACUGACGGCACCAUCGCCCAAUCGCAGCCAGGGGCGGGCUCUGCACACGGCACAGCCCCGCCCCGCGCUCUCAGGGCCCCCUGGGCUGCGUGAGGGCAAAGCCGGAGCUGAGGAACAGCCCUGGAACGGGCCCGGGCCCGAGGGGGAUUGAGCUGAAAACACAAACAAACUUCUCCGCAGCUCCCACCACGGCUUUCCCGGCACUGCGGCUCCGGUGGCUCCGGCUCAGCGGGAAGCCCUGGAGCCUCACUUCUCCUACCCCUAAUUAGGAGCAUCAGUGCAUCGCUUUGAUUUACAGCAAAAAGGGAAAACUGCCCAAACCCCUGUGGAUGAGUGGGGGAGGGGAGAGAUUUCUGGCAGAAAACUCCAAAAACUCAGAGCAGGAUAACGAGAAGUCAUCCUCACAGCCAGAAGAGCUGCAACAACAUAAAUCCCAAAGCAAAUUGUUGCUGGAGAUUGCAGAAUAUUCGUCUGUGCUGAGGCUGGAGUCCUCUGGGAAUUCCCUUCCCAUGUGCAGAAACCUCCAGCUGCUGCUCCCAGUGCAGGGUCCCCCUGUGCUCACAGCCUCUGCAGCCACCGGAGAAUUUGCCUCUUACCAUGGCCCCCGUUUCCCUGAAGUAAGGAGGUUCUCCUUACUUCUACUUACUUCUACCGUUGCUAAACUGCAUUUUUCACCUGCUCAGAUCUCUGGCAGGCAUUCCCAGCCUUUCCGGGGGGAUUUUAGGCCCCUGUGGCUGAUUUGAGGCUGAAUCUGGUGGGGUUUAGGCCAGUUUUGAUAAUUUAAGAAUAAACUGGGCUGUUUUACAGUGGAUUUUAGAUCCAUUUGGCUGAUU